UGGGGAAUAUUGCACAAUGGGCGCACGCCUGAUGCAGCCAUGCCGCGUGUAUGAAGAAGGCCUUCGGGUUGUAAAGUACUUUCAGCGGGGAGGAAGGGAGUAAAGUUAAUACCUUUGCUCAUUGACGUUACCCGCAGAAGAAGCACCGGCUAACUCCGUGCCAGCAGCCGCGGUAAUACGGAGGGUGCAAGCGUUAAUCGGAAUUACUGGGCGUAAAGCGCACGCAGGCGGUUUGUUAAGUCAGAUGUGAAAUCCCCGGGCUCAACCUGGGAGAUGCGUCUGAUAAUGGCAAGCUAGAGUCUCGUAGAGGGGGGUAGAGUACCAGGUGUAGCGGUGAAAUGCGUAGAGAUCUGGAGGAAUACCGGUGGCGAAGGCGGCCCCCUGGACGAAGACUGACGCUCAGGUGCGAAAGCGUGGGGAGCAAACAGG
rnacentral:rRNA from 1 species